rnacentral:rRNA from 1 species
AUUGAACGCUGGCGGCAUGCCUUACACAUGCAAGUCGAACGGCAGCGGGGACUUCGGUCCGCCGGCGAGUGGCGAACGGGUGAGUAAUGUAUCGGAACGUACCAUUGAGUGGGGGAUAACGUAGCGAAAGUUACGCUAAUACCGCAUAUUCUCUCCGGAGGAAAGCAGGGGACCGCAAGGCCUUGCGCUCUUUGAGCGGCCGAUAUCAGAUUAGCUAGUUGGUGAGGUAAAGGCUCACCAAGGCGACGAUCUGUAGCGGGUCUGAGAGGAUGAUCCGCCAACCUGGAACGGAGACACGGUCCAGACUCCUACGGGAGGCAGCAGUGGGGAAUUUUGGACAAUGGGGGCAACCCUGAUCCAGCCAUGCCGCGUGAGUGAAGAAGGCCUUCGGGUUGUAAAGCUCUUUCGGCCGGGAAAAAAUCGCAUGGGCUAAUACCCUGUGUGGAUGAUGGUACCGGAAUAAGAAGCACCGGCUAACUACGUGCCAGCAGCCGCCGUAA